AUUGAACGCUGGCGGCAGGCCUAACACAUGCAAGUCGAACGGUAACAGGAAGAAGCUUGCUUCUUUGCUGACGAGUGGCGGACGGGUGAGUAAUGUCUGGGAAACUGCCUGAUGGAGGGGGAUAACUACUGGAAACGGUAGCUAAUACCGCAUAACGUCGCAAGACCAAAAAGGGGGACCUUCGGGCCUCUUGCCAUCGGAUGUGCCCAGAUGGGAUUAGCUAGUAGGUGGGGUAACGGCUCACCUAGGCGACGAUCCCUAGCUGGUCUGAGAGGGUGACCAGCCACACUGGAACUGAGACACGGUCCAGACUCCUACGGGAGGCAGCAGUGGGGAAUAUUGCGCAAUGGGCGCAAGCCUGAUGCAGCCAUGCCGCGUGUAUGAAGAAGGCCUUCGGGUUGUAAAGUACUGUCAGCGGGGAGGAAGGGAGUAAAGUUAAUACCUUCGCUCAUUGACGUUACCCGAAGAAGAAGCACCGGCUAACUCCGUG
rnacentral:rRNA from 1 species